GUAGGGUGCGAGCGUUAAUCGGAAUGACUGGGCGUAAAGGGUGCGUAGGCGGUGUGUUAAGACGGAUGUGAAAUCCCCGGGCUUAACCUGGGAAUAGCAUACGUGACUGGCAGGCUAGAGUAUGGCAGAGGGAGGUAGAAUUCCACGUGUAGCAGUGAAAUGCGUAGAGAUGUGGAGGAACACCGAUGGCGAAGGCAGCCUCCUGGGCCAAUACUGACGCUGAAGCACGAAAGCGUGGGGAGCAAACAGGAUUAGAUACCCUGGUAGUCCACGCCCUAAACGAUGUCAACUAGUUGUUGGGGAUUCAUUUCCUUAGUAACGAAGCUCACGCAUGAAGUUGACCGCCUGGGGAGUACGGUCGCAAGAUUA
rnacentral:rRNA from 1 species